rnacentral:lncRNA from 1 species
CAGGCAUGCAGUUAUCAGGCAUGCCGGUAUCAGGCACGUGGGCCUCAGGCACACAGGUAUCACGUGGGUAUCAGGCACGCAGUUAUCAGGCACGCGGGUGUCGGGCAGGCGGGCGUCGGGCAGGCGGGCGUCAGGCUGCUUGGCUUUGCCCCACCGCAGCUCAGUAAAGCUUUGUGCCUGUUUUGUGGUUUCUGUUGCUGUGUCUUCGGGUUCACUCAUCUUUUCUUCUGCAAUGUAUAAUCUGCUGUUCAUCCCACUCAGUAGUUUUCAUAGUUUUCACUUCCGCAAGUUGAGUUUGGAUCGUUUUAAAAAAUAUCUUUCGUGUUUCAGCUUAGAUUUAAUGUCUUGUCUGCUAAUUCU